UGACUUUUUUAGAAUGUUAAUAAGAACACAGAAAGAUGCAUAGGAGCAAACUCAACUGACAGAAAUAAAGACACCUUGAGAAAUCAACUCAAUCCAAACAAGAGCAACAAAAUUGGACAUGUGUGUGGUGCCUGUCUUGGGACAUAUUAGAAGGUAAACCUAGUCUUCCAGAAUUUCUUUUCUUAACUGAGCCUAGUAAUGUGAUGUAAAUUUGCCCUAUGGUAACCCAGAAUGUUUUAAAAUUGUCAAAAAUACUUUAUAGAGCUUGUGCAGUUUAAAUAUAUUUUGUCACUUGAAAAAUUUUACUGUAUAAAUAUUGGUUAGUCUUUUAUAUUGAUUUCCUAAGAAAAAUGUCAUUUGUAGUCAGACUAUCAGUCAUUCUCUUCAAUGCCUUCAGUAAUUUUUAAGCUCACUGGUCAGUUUAAAUGAUAGAUUGAAAUUAAUACUUCCACUGAAUUAAUGGUGGAAGACUGAUUUCUAACAUAUUUCAUGUUCAUUUACAAUUAAUGAGACUAUUCAGGUCAUCACAAAAUUAAACAUUAAAGAAGAAAAUUCACUGAGUUUUUCCCAAAUAUAUCUGAACAUGUUAGAGACUUCCCAGCCACAAUUUUCACAAUCAAAAGAUGAUUUAAAAAAGACAGCGAAUGAAUUGUUUAAAGAGAGCUUUUAUUUUCCUCAUCUGACAAGGAAUUACAGACUUUUGCAAAUAUACUGUAUGACACACAAACUGUAGUUUAUGCCAUCACUGCAUACAGCGUUGGAACUACUUUUUUAUUUUACAAAAAUCAAAAUUACACCUGCUCUAAAAGAUAUUCAUUCAUCUUUAUUCGGUAACGUGUAUAAUUCAGAGCAUAAAGAGGGUGCAUAUCUGUUUGAUAGUUCUGGACAAAAUUUUUGAGCUCUGAUUUUCUCAGUGGCUCUGCUGUACAGCCUCAGAAUGAUGCAUGAGAAAAGUGCCCCAUCAGAGGCUGCCUGUGCAGCUCUUUCUGCUGCUCCCGAUGACACUAAUCCAUAUUCCACUUCUAAGUUGGCUGCUUCUCAGGGAAAUGCUGCUGCUUCAACAUCUUUUACUGCUGAUCCUGCUUUACAUUUUUGGAACAACCCAGGAAUUCUCACUUGCUCUUUUAUAACCCGGCGAAGUAAACACAGUUUCUUGUUUCAUAAAACAGAACUCCUGAAGCAUAACAUCAUUAUGAAUUCUAGAGGUAAUGCCUUGUGCUAUGCUUAAGAGACUUAGUCCUAUAUCCUGUGAUAGAGCCCUUGUCAGGCUACCGUGCUAUCAGGCCACAUGAAUAGUCUAAAUCACCAGCUAGAGAUUCUUCCAAUAUGAUGAGUCUCCUUAGCUGCAAUAGCCAGCCCUACAGCAAGCCAUUUUUAGCAUAUACAGGUGAUGGUCAGAGGACUGCCUAUAGCUGCCUGAUAAUCCCUUGAGAGCUAAAAUCAUCAAGGAUGUAGUGCAGCUUCUAGAUGCUAUAAUUGCUGCAGCCAGUUGUGAUACGCCAAUAGAGGGGCAUCCAUGAUGCUUUCAGAUUCUGGGGUUAGUCGCACUGAACUUGAGAGAUCAUCAUUUGUCAAGUAUAAGAAUUUAUUAAAGCUAAGUAGUUCUACACAUAUGACGGAUGCUGGACAACACUAAACAAUUAAAACUAGACAAUCUACAAGUAUAACAGCUAAAAAGUAUAGCAAAGCUAGAAAUAGAAUAUAUAUUUCUGCUCUAUAGCAGAAAUAAAUACAUAUAUAUAUAUACACACAUCAGAGCUCUAUGGUUAAGCCAUGGAUGCACAGUCCAGUGACCAUUCUCGCCCUUUCCUUGUCCUAAUGAGCCAGCCCUCCAGGUUGUUCUCGCCACACUUGAGCUGCGCCGGGAUGAUUCAGGUUCUCCCUGGCAGUCGCCAUCAGGGACGUCCCAGCUGAUGGGUGGGUUGUCAAGCCCAUAGGUCAGCUGACAGUAACGAUUCCACACAGAGUUUGCAAAGAGCUGAUUUCCCAAAGAAGAAAAUGGUUUGAGAGAUGGAGACAUCAUCUAUAUCAUCUCUCAUCUCUUAAUAGCCAAUCAUUUGUGUUGUUUGUACCUUCCUUACUGACCAUUGUUUCAUUGUGGAUAGAUAUCACUGGAGGUGCUUCUUCCAGCCUGUCUGUUUUGGUGUCUGAUUCAAAACCAGCUUGGUUUGUAUCAGGCCCUUGAUGAAUCUCAGGAAUACUGAAACUGGCUGGCUUGACCAUUUAAGAUCCCAAACUGAGUCCAGUGCUGUCAAUCAAGAAGGCCAAAGAAUGGAUGCCUCUUAUUAAUUUCAGGCAGCGCUUAGCAAAUUAAAUAGUUUUUCCUAAGAAUGUAUGUAUUUCUUCGUUAACUGGCUGCUGCAUUCUGCGGAUGGUUGGAUCAGCAGCAAGAUCUGUGCAGCUGUGCAUAGUUGGCAGACAGAUGUGUAAUUUUUGCGUUUGUGAGUUAACCAUCAGCAGCCAAUAGAUUUUAGUAGUAGUGAGGAAGAGAGAUCUUGAGUACAAGGUUAACCUUACUGUUCACGCUUCACUUUCUGCAUAUCCAAUAUCAAAUUCUGUUUCAUAUUAGAAAGCUUGAUUGCCUCUGCUAUGCUCAUUUCAUGCACUCAACUUGCCAACUUCUUAAUAGUAAAGAAUUAUUAAAAUAGUUUGUGUUUAUGGAGAUGUUGGUGUUUUUUGGAAGCAACUGAAAUGUGCAGUGAAUGAGUCAUAAAAUGAAAAGAGCAUGAUGAAAAUGGUGGUGAGACAAUAAACUCCUAUAUAGCCUGUUUGCGUUAUGUUGCCUACUGUCAGGUUUAAUACUAUAUAGUCCCUUUACGUAGAGAGAUGGGAUAUCUAUUUCUGUUAAAAUUGGAAGCAAUUUGACUUUCUCCAAAAAUCAAAUUAAGUUUUUUGAGCUCAUGCAAAGAAUUUUACUUUUCCAGUUCUAGACUCUGAUAAGGACAUUGAGUCAAAAGAACAAAUUGCCAGGACCCAGAAUCUUCUCUUUCUUAUAUAGCAACAUGAUGUGUGACAAGGAAAUGAGAAGUAUGUAUACAGCAACCUCAGUUCAUUUCCCAAGAAUGGCCUGUAUAAUAAAAAUGAGACCCCAUAAAGCUUGCAGAGUAUUAACAGAGAUUUAGCUCAUGAAGAGCCAAGAAGAUUGAUACAGUUGUAGAACCUCAACUUACAGCAGAAAAGUGUUUCACCUUCUACAGCAGUGAUAUUCAUCCUGAAGCUUAUUUGUCAGAACACUGUAUAGAUUUUGGUGUUUAAAAUGGGAAAAAAUUGAACUAGAAAGAAUGGUAGAGAAAAAGCAAAUUAUUUACCUGUGCAAAAACCCAUGUACUGGAAUAAAAAAAUUAUCCAUGUCUUCCUCAAAACAGCUGUUUCUCUUGGAAGUCAUAUACACUAUAUUUUAGCUUCCUGAAAGUUACAAAUGUUUUCUUAUGAGACGAAAAAAAAAAAA